AGGAGUGGAGGGAGGAGAGGAGGGAAGAGAGGAGGGAGAGGAAAGAGGAGAGGAAGGAGAGAUGGAGGGAGGAGAGGAGGGAGAGAUGGAGGGAGAGGGAGGAAGAGAGGAGGAGGAGGCAAUGGAGGUGCUGGAAAUCACGUUGGGAGGAGCAUCGGAAGCAGGAGGAGCAUUGGCCGAAAGCAUGGAGACGGGGGAGGAGCCAGACUCUGCCUCAGAAAAGGACAAAAACUGACGUGGGAGAAACCCUCUGACUCCUGACGCUGACGUGGGAGAAACCCUCUGACUCCUGACGCUGUCAUUUGGGAAGAGUAGGGGCCAGCAGGGUGACCUCUGACCUAUUGAUGCCAUGGAAGUGCUGUUGCUCUCCACUGUGUUCUAAUCCAGGUGUGCCUGAACUUUGACCUUUUCUGCCCCAUCGCCAGCAGCAGCCGCAUCAGUGUUCCUUGCUGCUGCUCUGCCCCCCCCCCCCCGGUGGUGGAACCGGGGACCUCCGCGCAGCGUUGCGCCGUCUCUUUGACCUCCGACCUCAGUUCCGCCUCCCUCUGCUCCGAGUGCGGCCAAGUGCCCGCCCCCAGUCCCGGGAGACUGUGUGUGUGUGUGUGUGUGUGUGUGUGUGUGUGUGUGUGUGUGUGUGAGAAUGUCAACAGUGUUAGUCCCGUGUGGAAGGACUCCCACAAUCCCUUGUGUCAUGUGAAUUCCCGCGGAUCUUUUUUUAAAGUAUUGAUAGUGUUUAUUCAGAGGGAGAGAGGCGAUUUGCACCAGUGUUACAGUCCGUUUACAAAAUGCAGGCUGCGGUUUAUAAACCACACAAUAUGAGCUAAACACGUAAUCGGGUUAUGAGUUUAUAAAUAAACGUGUAAGCGGGAUAUGAGUUUAUAAACCACACAAUAUGAGCUAAACACGUAAUCGGGAAAUGAGUUUAUAAAUAAACGUGUAAUCGGGAUAUGAGUUUAUAAAUAAAUGUGUAAUCGGGAUAGGAGUUUAUAAAUAUAGAAUAGGAGUCCUACACCUGUAGUGAGUUGAUACAGUGAAGGAUGUGUGUACACGGAACAGUGUUACCGAUCUGAAAGAUGUUCUAGUGUGUACACGGAACAGUGUUACCGAUCUGAAAGAUGUUAUUCCAAGAGAAGUGUUGUGAUGAGUCCAGAUGUGGCUUUGCAGACUGAAGGACAUCUCUUUAGAAGCUGAAGGAUCUGGGGUCAUAAACAGAUGAUUAUGAUUUCAUAAACAGAAUUUGGCACUAGUGAUGAAGGAUGUGGGUUUUGUUUUAGUAAAAAAAGAAGUGAAUACAAAUGAUUCUAAAGAAGUGAAAUACCUGAUGAUCAUAUGUUUAUAAGCUGAAGACUCCUGGUCUAUAAGCUGAAGGAUACUAGUUUAUAAACAGAAGGAUGCUAGUUUAUAAACAGAAGGAUGCUGGCCUGUAAACUGAAGGAUGCUGGUUUAUAAACUGAAGGAUGCUGGUUUUGAAGAGGGUAAUGUUGUCCUGUAGUGUUAGGGUGUGUUUAGAAAGAGGCGUCUGUUCUGUGUGCUGUGGACUCUUCUUCUGGACUGCAUGCAAACAGACGCUCAGUUACCCUCAAACCCCCCUUUAUGAACACACACACACACACACACACUUGUAUAUCUAGUUCUAAGACAGCCCUCUCUCUGACACACCCACACGCCUUUGGUGUCCUCAAAGCCAAAUUGUCCAAUCAGGGAAGCACUAUAAGGAGGGCAUCAGCAUAAGUGUUGUGUUGUUCCUGUUGUUUAUGAUGCUGUUUGUUUGUUUGUUUGUUUGUUUGGUGUGUUGAUGACACCCAAUUUGAACUCAACACCUCAGCCUUAUGCAAGACCACAGUGCUGUAAGUGCCAUAUACUCCAGUUCAUCUUCAUUGAGCAUACACGUGUGUGUGUGUGUGUGAGUGAGUGAGUGAAGGGAAUGGAAAGGUCUGUGUGUCCAUUUUGUGUUUGUGACAUGUUCAGCUGCAGAACAGAACAGCCUGCGCUGAUAGCUACGCUGACAAUACUCCAGAUUAGAGGUAACUGGAGUGACUCCAGAUUAGAAUGAUACAAGUGAUCCAGAUUAGAAUGAUACAAGUGAUCCAGAUUGGAAUAAUAGAAGUGAUCCAGAUUACAACGACAGAAGUGAUCCAGAUUCAAAUGAUAGAAUUGAUCCAGAUUACAAUGACAUAAUUAAUCCAGAUUAGAAUGAAAGAUGGUCUCUUAGAUCGGAUCUGGAUUAGCAAAACCAGUAUCGGUAAUCAGGGAUUGAUUCACAUUACAAUCAGUUACAGUGAAUCUGAAUUACAGAUCGAAAGCACGGAUCUGAAUCAGUCAAGCAGAAAGGAUGAGAAAUCAAAGUCAGAAGCCAAAAUCCAUCUGAAUCAGAAUCUGGAGCAGAUGAUGCCAAUGCACUCUGCCUGCCUAGUGUGUGUUAUCUCUCAUCUGGGAAUGUGUGUGUGGUGUGUCCUGUGUGUGUCCACUCUAUGUGAUGGAUAUCAGCACAUGAACAACGAGGCAGUCACAAAUGAACAACGUUUGGAGUGUUUUCUGUGAACGGUGUGUAACUCUUUUAAACACGGUGGCGUAAAAGCACAUGUUGUGUCUGUCUGGAUGGAUGCACAUGGUUGUGUCUGUCUGUCUGGAUGGGCAAUUGUGGAAAGAUGAUGUUCUCCUUUUAUUUCUGAAUCGUUUCAGGAUAAGAAAAUGUAUUAUUUUGUAAUGUUAUCAUUUUUAAUCCAUCAGUGUUAAAUAUUGUUUAUUAUUAUGGUUAUUUGAUAUUUUGUACUUGCAAGUAAACAUGUAUAUUGUCUGAGAAAGUGGCUGGGUGAGGAACAGCGCCCCCACAGGCCUAUGGCUGGGUGAGGAAUAGCACCCUCACAGGCCUAUGGAUGACCCAGUUACUGUCUCAGAAGCGUCUCUACCAGACAUCAGUAUUACUAGAUCCCACUUAACUGACAUCACUUGUUAUAGGAAGAAAGGACAGUUAAGCUUGUUUUAUAUAUAUAUAUGUGUAUGUAAACAUAUUUAUGUGUCUUAUUUUUGUAUUUGCUCAUAGUUAUUUAUUCUACACUUUAGUUUACAGAGUUGCCGUUUGUGUUACUUCUUUAACUGUAUUACGAGUGCCGCUGUAGUCAGGCAGGAAGUAGUUUUGGAUUGGUUAGAACAGUCCCCCUCCUCAUCAGGCAGGAAGUAGUAUUGGAUUGGUUAGAACAGUCCCACUCCUCAUCAGGCAGGAAGUAGUAUUGGGUUGGUUAGAACAGUCCCACUCCUCAUCAGGCAGGAAGUAGUAUUGGAUUGGUUAGAACAGUCCCACUCCUCAUCAGGCAGGAAGUUGUAUUGGGUUGGUUAGAACAGUCCCACUCCUCAUCAAGCAGGAAGUUGUAUUGGGUUGGUUAGAACAGUCCCACUCCUCAUCAAGCAGGAAGUGGUAUUGGAUUGGUUAGAACAGUCCCACUCCUAACCAAUCCAAUACCACUUCCUGCCUGAUGAACACAGCCCCACCCCUCACACAGGGCAAAGGGGCUUCCUUUUCCAAAAAAAGCAGCGAUAGCUGACUUCCUGCAUAACUGCGCUGAGGAAAACCAGAAACACAUCAGCUCAUACACGAUGCUAGAACACGUCACCUCAUACACGAUGCCAGAAACACAAACACGUCACCCUUGGCGAAACACAACAUCUUGUAUGAUGGGCCAGGUUGGGGAUACAGCACCCUGAAGGCGAAACACAGCACCUCGUAUGCUAUGCUAGGCUAGGUUGGCAAAAAGACAGCACCUCGUAUGCUAGGCUAGGCUAGGUUGGCAAAAAGACAACACCUCGUAUGCUAGGCUAGGUUGGCGAGAGACAGCACCUCGUAUGCUAGGCUAGGUUGGCGAGAGACAGCACCUCAUACAUGAUGCUAGUUUGGCGAAAGACAGCACCUUAUGCAGGAGGCUAGGCUGGAGAAACGCAGCCCCACAUAUGCUAAGCAAGAGAAAAAGAGCACCCUGCAUGCUAGGCAAGGCUAAGACAGACUGGGGUGCGUUUCCCAAAAGCAUAGUUGCUAACCUGUUAGCAACUUAGUUGGUUGGCAAUGGGAAAUUGCAUUGCAACCAACAAAGUUGCUAACUUAGUUAGCAACUAUGCUUUUGGGAAACGCACCCCUGGAUGUGAGCCGUGUUUCCAGGUGUGUACUCAGAGCAGCUAACGGGGUAACUAGGCUCUAGCGCUGCUGUCACAGAGCUGCACCACCAAACUAGACCAGAUCCAACAGAACCAGGCCAGACUGGUACAUGCCUCCAGGCCAGACUGAUUGGCUGUUUUGUGACCCGCUCACUGCCCCCUAUGACAGACCCACGUUUGUUGCAGUCAUACUGUCUGCCACUGCAUUCAUCACGUCUAGAUCCCCUCAUAGUGCAUAACCCUCCCCAACACUGCAGAUCACUCAGUGCGUAACCCACCCCAACACUCCAUUCAUCACGUCUAGAUCCCCUCAUAGUGCAUAACCGACCCCCAACCCCUUUAUAAGCAUUUAGAACACGUCCUUAUCACUCAUGUGCAUGGGAAGUACCUUACAUGUUUAUGAAGCACUGUGUUUGACUUAGGAAAGUUACUGUGUUUGUGUGUGUGUGUGCAACUAAGCCAGUUUGCCAGGACAUGAUGUUGAGAAUGUGUUAGCAUGAACGCUACGUAGGUGUGAGGUUGUGACCGUCUGAAGAGGAGGCUUGCUCUGAGGUCUCCAGUGUCUCCAAGUUAUAACCAGGAUGAAAAUUAGCACCAGCUCCCCAGCCAAAUGCUGGUCAAAUAUUUAAGUGGCUGGUAGACUUUUCAGAUGCAAAAUAAUGAUUUAGUAUUCAGCGGCUGGUAGACUUUUCAGAUGCAAAAUAAUGAUUUAGUAUUGAGCGGCUGGUGAAUUUGAUCAUUUAUCUGCCCGUAGCUGGUAGAUGUUUUCAUUUUAAAACGUUGAUUUCCACCCUCGUGUGGAGGCGAAUGCCAGGCGGUGGUUCCGUGCGUCACAGUGUGUUGUCCAUGUCUCAUUUUGUGUGCCAAAGGUUUUUGUGUAUGUGUCCAAUGCAUUCAGUUUGUUUUAGAUAAAACAAGCAUGUUCUAAUGCAUUGUCAUUCUCAAUUGUUUAAUUUAAAAAACAAAAUCCCCAUCCAAACAGUAAUUAAAGGAGAAUAAUGCUGAUUUUA